GAUGAACGCUGGCGGCGUGCCUAAUACAUGCAAGUCGAGCGAACAGACGAGGAGCUUGCUCCUCUGACGUUAGCGGCGGACGGGUGAGUAACACGUGUAUAACCUACCUAUAUGACUGGGAUAACUUCGGGAAACCGGAGCUAAUACCGGAUAAUAUAUUGAACCGCAUGGUUCAAUAGUGAGAGACGGUUUUGCUGUCACUUAUAGAUGGAUCCGCGCCGCAUUAGCUAGUUGGUAAGGUAACGGCUUACCAAGGCAACGAUGCGUAGCCGACCUGAGAGGGUGAUCGGCCACACUGGAACUGAGACACGGUCCAGACUCCUACGGGAGGCAGCAGUAGGGAAUCUUCCGCAAUGGGCGAAAGCCUGACGGAGCAACGCCGCGUGAGUGAUGAAGGUCUUCGGAUCGUAAAACUCUGUUAUUAGGGAAGAACAAAUGUGUAAGUAACUAUGCACGUCUUGACGGUACCUAAUCAGAAAGCCACGGCUAACUACGUG
rnacentral:rRNA from 1 species